AUUUAAAUAGUUUAUUUUAAAAUAUUGAUUUGUGGUGUCAAUGAUAUGAGUUAGUCAUUUUAGAUC
rnacentral:tRNA from 1 species